UACGGAGGGUGCAAGCGUUACUCGGAAUCACUGGGCGUAAAGAGCGUGUAGGCGGAUAGAUAAGUCAGAAGUGAAAUCCUGCAGCUUAACUGUAGAAUUGCCGUUGAUACUGUUAGUCUUGAGUACAUUUGAGGUAGGCGGAAUGUGGUGUGUAGCGGUGAAAUGCAUAGAUAUACCACAGAACACCGAUUGCGAAGGCAGCUUACUAAACUGUAACUGACGCUGAGGCACGAAAGCGUGGGUAUCAAACAGG
rnacentral:rRNA from 1 species